rnacentral:rRNA from 1 species
UACAGAGGGUGCGAGCGUUAAUCGGAAUUACUGGGCGUAAAGCGUGCGUAGACGGUUACGUAAGUCGGAUGUGAAAGCCCCGGGCUCAACCUGGGAAUUGCAUUCGAGACUGCGUAGCUAGGAUGCGGAAGAGGGAAGCGGAAUUUCCGGUGUAGCGGUGAAAUGCGCAGAUAUCGGAAGGAACACCAGUGGCGAAAGCGGCUUCCUGGUCCAGCAUCGACGUUCAGGCACGAAAGCGUGGGGAGCGAACAGG